rnacentral:misc_RNA from 1 species
GGAUGAAGAACGCAGCGAAAUGCGAUAAGUAGUGUGAAUUGCAGAAUUCAGUGAAUCAUCGAAUCUUUGAACGCACAUUGCGCCCUUUGGUAUUCCUUAGGGCAUGCCUGUUCGAGCGUCAUUUAAACCUUCAAGCUCAGCUUGGUGUUGGGUGACUGUCCGCUUCACCGCGGACUCGCCUCAAAAUUAUUGGCGGCCGGUACAUUGGCUUCGAGCGCAGCAGAAACGCGAACUCGGGCCCGUCGUAUUGGCUCCCAGAAGCUAUCUUCACAAUUUUGACCUCGGAUCAGGUAGGGAUACCCGCUGAACUUAAGCAUAUCAAUAAGCGGAGGA